UGGGAAGGAUUGAUAGGUGGAAUGAACAAUAAGAUUUGUUUUAGUGUGCCGCAGAAGUGCCCGCUAACCUAGACUCGAACUCCGCCUCUACCGCCUCCUGCCUCCGUCUCCGGCGGCAGAGACGGCCAGCUGCUGCCUCUUUGCCGGCGUUGGCUCCUCCUGCCGGUACCUCCCCUCUCACGACGGAGCUAGGCCUACUCCCCUCAUCGUCGACGCUGGAGCUACGCCUACUCCUCUCGUCGUUAGCGCGGGCCGCCGGAGCCGAUCCUCGAAACGGGAGAAUAAGGGCGCGCCACGUCGCCGCUGGACUCCUGCUCAAGCUCCGUGUCACCAGCAAGGUCGUGUGCUACGGCCCCCUCCGCCGCCACGAAGGAACGGAGUAGACAAGAGGAAUAGACUCCAGGCAGGCUGCCGUCUACGUGUGGGCUGCAGCAGUACCUCCGAGGCUGGGGCUCCGUGGGAGGGACGAAGGAAGACCAACGUAGAGGGGGACUAAGAUAAAAUAGGUACGGAUGUGCUACGUGUUGUUUUGAGGAUCGUCCGAACGUUAGAGUGCGCAUUCCCUUCUACACAAGGAGAGACCGAUCGUGGACGAGCUAGUUUACGGAUCGGUAAAGUUAGCAAAUAACAUCCUUUAUAUUCCACGUGGGUUUAUCCUCCGGUAAGACACGUCGGAUAAGAAAAGUCAAGAUCCUUAGGAUACCAUCUCCCACCACAAUCAAGAUAUUUAUUGAAAGUCUGUAGACAUCAAAAAGUCCAACAUCGCACUGUUGAAACUAGUUUUAAACAAAGUCAACUGAGAUGUAAGGUAAGCAACUAAAACACAAGAAUUGACUUUAGUCUCAAACAACUACAUUCACUGAACCUAAUCAUAAGAAGAGAAACGAUACGAUUAUAAGUGGAACGAAGUCAACUGGGGUGAAAGGCAAGUAACUAAAACACAAGAAUUGUCUUUCGUCUCAAACAACCACAUUCACUGAACCUAGUCAUAAGAAGAAAAACGUAUACGAUUAUAAGUGGAAAUUGUCGACGAUUUCAUAGUACCGUAAUAUAGUUUGAGACGAGACGGGUUUAAAAGGUCCGGACUUCUCUCCUUCAUCCGGCCGCCGUUCCUAGGUCACUGCUCGCGGAGGCAUCGCGUCUAUGAAACCUAGAUACACGAAACCGGUUUAACCAGCUCGGACUCUGACUAAUCUUCCUGUCUACCCGGACCUUCUAUGUGGUCUUUGUCUUCUUUUUCAAGAGUUUUAACGCUUUCUCGCUAUAUCUCCGGCCACUAGUUGAGAUUCGAGGUGAAUGUUCCGUAUGUUUUGUCUACGUCGAUCUAACCGAUUAGACGGCCUUCUAAAUGUUGGCCUUCUCACUUACCUACUAACUCAUGAAACCGUGACUAAGUUUUAAAGUCCUUGUGUUGGCUUUCUUGUGACUAUUGGCAUUCUUUGUCUUCUGUUUUGUGUCUUAAUCUAGUUUUAGAAUGAGCGUUGAUUCAAAACUAUUCCAUACUCAGAUUCAUUUAUACAUACGGAACGACGAUUGAGAGUGUGUGUGCUUCUUACCUUGUACCAGAUUGUGUCUUAGGGUCCUACAAAUUCACUCAUUGACUGAAAACCAAUAAGAUAUCAAUAAGUUACUACACGUAAGCCGUACGAAGACGUAGUCGACCCUAAUAAGUACACAACCUAGCACAAUAAGAACAAAGUAGAAAAUAUCACAUUUAUAACUACGCCGUGGAUAUUAACAAGAAAGGCAAAACUCCUGUUUUGUGUAUUAUCCAACUUUUGUUUCUUUGACUUUGAGUACCAGGUGAAAGUUCACUCGUACAGUAACCGGAAGUAUUAAUCGAUCGACGAAGAAGAGAAAGUGGUACGCAACGACGACGUAACUCAGUGUUGAAUUUUUUUACUUAUACACGAUCGAUCCCUGUACUUGAAUUGACUUUGAUAUCUAGCUCAGUGUUGAAUUUAGUUAUCGCCUUCGAAAAUCAUGUACAUGAACACAUAUGUGAAAUCUGUAAAUGUGAACAUUUUGACAAGACUGGGGAGUCAAUGUACCAACGACUGUGUCAUAAUGAGGAGGUCCAUCAAACCGUUGUUAAGCAAAAUUGUUACCCAGACCUUAUUAACAUACCGUAUACAAUACAACCUGAGUAAUUGAUCUUGAUAUAAAAAAACUAAAGAACUAACGUCCUAGGUUUCUUGAUCGAACUGACCUGAAAUUAGUGCCUGUUAAAUCAGAACCGUGAAUUAACCCUACCGAUUUAAUGUAAACUCAAAGUAAACUACCUAUAAAUGAUACUCUUAAUACUUAAAAUAAUUAGAUGUAUAAUAUGUAUACCAAAAUUUAUAACAUUAACUUACGGACAUAAAAAAAAUCCAACGUCAUCCGAUAACGGUGUUGGAGUGAAAACCAACGGUGUACAAUCGUGGUACUUUUAAUUUUAACAGCGUUAUCAAAGAGCGAUGUUUGUAAAGUAGGCAACCCUAUGGAUGAAUAGUGGUGGUUUUGAUCAUACAACGUUAAAGAACAAUGCUGCUGGCCUUAUAAAC
rnacentral:rRNA from 1 species